AGAGAGAUGGCAGAGUGGUUUAAUGCAUCUAACUUGAAAUUAGACAAAGAAAUUUUCGUGGGUUCAAAUCCCAUUCUCUCUU
rnacentral:tRNA from 1 species